GUCGGCGCAGCUCAGUGGUAAGAGCACCGAUAUGUCGGGAGAAAGUCGGCCCACCCUGUGACACCCGCAUCUUACUCUCCGCGCACACAUCGGAGGGGCGGGGUCAAAACCCGCCGCCGACA